CCUCCGUGAAGAGCGGGUAUGUUUUCCAAUCUCUUUUUCGCCCCCUGCUAUCGUCCAGACAAUGUCUUUGUUAGAAGUGUCCAAGGGCAAAGUGGAAAUAUGUGACCCUCUCUCCUUGUCUUCAAUGGAGGGUUGAGCUCCGGCACUGCUGCCAGUGUCAGAUGCCAACACUGAUAAUGCCAGGGGCGAGAUGGCAACUGUCCACCCUGGAGCCUGCAUUUUAAAACUGCUCCUGCCUGCAGCUUUCAGAUGGGCACCGACUGCAUAGAAGAGCUGUGUCACAUUUUAGCUUUCUGUGUUCGAGCUGCUCAAGCAUAAAUUCCCAUUCACACUCGGCUUUGAGUAUUCACCAGGGCAGUGAAAGAUUUAAUUACCCGCGCGAGUCCAUGUGGAGCGCCCAACACAGAGAGGUGGCACAUUACUUGUGCUGGUAAUUAUUUUGUACUUCACUGAGCUUGUAGACAGCCCACUGAAAAUGUAAGCAGCAUCCAUGAUGACAAAGCAUCAGCAACGGGCUGUUCUGGGCUGAUUACACAGUCUUAAUCUAUAAAAUGGAAUAAGCAGAGAGGAGGAACAGUAGCAGUUUUUACUGAAAGGUCAACCCUUAUUGUCUUUCAGCUCACUGUAGGCGGGCUUUAAGGAAUUCCAUCAAUUCAAGUAUUUGCAUAAAGAAUAAGUUGAGCAGUACUAAUAUUGUCAUUUGCGUUCAUGAAAUGUAAACUUACAGCAGUGCAUAAAGGGGUUUGUGUUCGUACUAUAAUUCAAAAGAAUUACCAUCAUUCUCUCACUAAAAUUUUGCGCUUUGUUAAUGAGAAAAGUAUUUUUUGCCGUUUUCUGAGCAACUACAAUCAGCAGUUUUGCAAGUCAAAUAAAAGAUUUGUGUCAUGCCGCUAAAAAUAAUGAAAAAAAAAAAAGUAUACAGUGCUGUGAAAAGAGUAUAUAUAAAUAUAAAUGUAUUUCUUUUAUAUUAGUUACUUAUGUUUCAGAUCAGCAAGCAAAUGUUAAUAAACCUGGCUUCAUGCGAAAAAUCAAAAUCAUGAAUUAGCUUUCCAAAUAAUAGGGUUAAUUACAGUUGAGUUCCGUUUCACCACCUACACCCAGGCCUGAUUAAUCAAGGAAACACUUAAAUAGAACCAGUCUGACUGAGAAAGCUAUGUCAUUGGUCUAUUAGCCUGGUUACAAGGCCAUUUCUAAAGCUUCGCGACAAAAUGACUCCAAGCUGUCAUCAACGACUAAUCACAAAAGAACCUCACCUGCCUCAAUCACGGUCAGAGUUCCUGAUUCAACAAUAAAAAAGAGCAGGCAAAAAUGGCAUCAAUGAGAGAGUUAAAGGAAUAAAAAUACUGCUAAACAAAAAGAACACAAAGGCUUGUUUCACAUUUACAAAAAAAUAUCUUGAUGAUCCCCAAGGACUUUUAGUAAAAUAUUCCGUGGACUAAAAAACGUAAGGCCUGUUACAUCUGUGGUAAACUAACACAGCAUUUCAUUAAAACAACAACAACAACAAAAAAACAUGAUACCAACAGUCAAACAAGGUGGAGGUAGUGAGAUGUCUGGGGCUACUUUGCUGCUACAGAAGACUUGCUGUAGCAAUCCUCAAGCAGCCAUCAGUUCAUGCCCUGAACCUUCAGCACACUCAGGUUAUGCGGCAGGAGAAAUGAACUUAAACAGAGCAGGAAGUCCUUAAAAAGAAUAUUAAUGUUCAAAACCCCUCCAAUGUGGCUGAAUGAAACAAAUUUGCAAAGAAGAGUGGACAAAAAUUUCUCAAUGUCAGUUAUUAUAAAUGCUUGAUUGCAGUUUUUCCUUGUCAAGUAUGGCACAAUCAAUCAUUUGGUUUAGGGGGCAGUUUUUCCACACAGAGGCAUGUAGGUUUGUGCUUUUUUUGAUUAAUAAAUUAAAUCAUUUAAAAACUGCAUCUUGU